CAUACUUUCACUAGUGGCAACUCCCAACAACAUUAACAUAAUCUAAUCACAUGAUAUUUCUACUAAAACAUGCAAUGGGACGUACUUGGAGGUCAUUCCUUUCUAAUCAAGAGAGGACGAGAAUUAUGUAGGGCUACAAAAGCACACCUCAGAAUUCGUAUUUCUCAUCUAUGGAUUUCUCAAUGUCACCGCGGCCAUCCAAAGAGAGUACCACAAUCACCACAACACAUCUCAAGGAUAGUCAAAGACAAGCACCAAGAGACUCUCAAUCUUCAAUCAAUUCACAAAAGAGGAAAUCACUCAUAAAAAUAUAUUCUUCUAAUCCAUGUCCAAUAGACCGCUAUCACCAUGGUCUUGGGGAUUAUUCUAGAUAAGAUCAAGUAAGUACAUCAAUCCAAUACAUAGAAGAAGGGGAAACAUCAUGGGAUCACCCUAGAUUAACUUAGCCUAUGAUGACAAUCAAGAUCACAUCUUGGGAGAGAGAGAUGACCACAUAGCUAUGCGUAGAAGACCUCAGCCCCGAGGGAGACUACGCACACAUGGCCAUGGUGAGCAAGAGGUUGAUGGAGAGGUCCAGCCCGGAGAGGAGACGACGGCCGACGGCGGCCGUGGCGGCGGCCACGACCCUUGGGGGUGGCGUACUUUGGCCCCCCUUCUUCCUUGGAGAUGGUUCUGGUAUGGAGGUAGUUCUCCAUCCCAAGACGGCUGCUUGGGCGGAGGAAAUCUCGUAGCUCUUGGUGGCCCUCGAGAAAUCAGGUUUUUC
rnacentral:lncRNA from 1 species